GGAUAUUUCUAAACAUUUCAAUAUGGUGGAAUCAAUGGAUUUGAUGGAUCCACAAGUUGUACACAGAAUGCCAUUUUAUAAAAAUGAGUAAAAGUACCCAUUAAUUCAGGCAUGAUUUUAGAAACAUUUAGAAAUUGGUUUCACUGGAUUUGGAGUUGAAAUGAAUACAAUAUGGAUUUUUGAAGUGGACUUAUGUGGAUAAAUGACCUUUUAAAAAGGUUCAGUGAAAACCAGGGACAACAAAAAUGUCCACUGUGGCCUAUUAAAUAGAGCUUGAUUUAUGGAGCCACUGGAAAUUUGAAUCAUCAAAUUUGGAGUCCAUUUGACUUAUUUGUGGAUUUUACAAAUUUACAGAAAAGAAAAAGGAAAAUGAAAGGGUUUUACCCUUAUCCAGCGCACUGGGCGCAGUUUAGCAGUGGGCCGGCCCAGCGGCUUGGCCACGCAGAUGACAGGGUGACGCCGAUGGCGCCCAGCCGGAGUACGCCUUCGCUGCGGGGACGCGGGAGAAAGCGAGUACGCCUCCACUUGCCAGCGUGGCCCCGUGGCUGGGCCACUGACAAGCGGGGCCCGCCUGUCAGGUUCGUCCUCCACCUACCGCGCGGGUGCGAUAGGAGACAGAGGAGGUGUUCGAUGCCGGCCGCCGGCGCUACAGGGCGUCUCCAGCGAUGCUCUGCCCACCGGCGUGCUCAGGGGACCCAACCUCGUCCAACCGUGGGUGGCACGGUCGCCCAGGGGCACCGGGUCGAGCAAGGCAUCGACCGCGGCGGAUGAGGCUGACGGUGGUGAUGCAGCUCGACGGAACAGCCACGGGGAGGAGGGGGAGAAGCACGGGAGGGUCUUGCGGUGACGGUGGUGGCGCUCUAGUGCGGUCCAGAGGGAAGGAGGAGGAGAGAUGGGUGCGGAUUUAGGCGGAGACCGAUGGCAAGGCUCUGGCCAUGGUGACGGAUGGAGAGCGCGAGGAGGGGAGAGGGUUGGUCCAGGGGUCUCUGGGAGGGAGAGAGAGAGCGAAAGGAGGCCAGAGAGAGCCCCGGGGGUGGCCUUUUAUGGCGGGGCGAUGGUGCAACAUGGGCUCGUGCGCCGGUGAGCUCGCGCUUGUCGCUACAGCCCUCGGGAAGGUGGUGCACCGAGUCUAGGGAGUUCGUGGAGGUGGACUACGCCCAGGGGGAGAAGAGAGGGAGCGGGGAAUGCGGCAUGGCGGGUCCCCGCCGCGGCCAGCGACUGGCGCGCUCGGGCGGCGUUCUGUCCGCACGCGAGGAGAGCCAGAGAGGGAGAGAGAGAGGAGGGGGACGACAGUGUAGCGUGAUGCAGACGUCGAGGUGACCUCGGGGGACACGACGGGGAGGCCCUAGGUGGCCGGGGGGUGGUUGGAAGGGGGCGGCUACAGUGCGGGUGUGCACUGUAGCGCGCUCUGGAGCACACCAGUUGCAUGCCAGGGCAUGUCUUUGGCUUGUAGGGCGUGGCCACUUGUGUCUAGGUUGUUUAGGGAGGAGUAAACAAAGGGGAGAGGGCCUUGGAUGCCCUGGACAGCCAGUAGGAGAGGAGAGAGGUUGAGAGAGAGAGGGAAAUGGGCUGUCCAGAGAGAGAAAGUGAGGGUUUCACCCCCAAAUAAUUGAUCUGAGAUGCAGCCAUUGCUACUGGAGGUAGAAGAGGUCUAGGAGGGGCUGUGGUAAAAAGUUGAGCUCAAGGAGAUUAGUGGAAGAUGUCAAAAUGGUGAUUUUGGAAAAAUGGCAGAAGGUGUUUGUUGUUGGUUUGGGCAAGAAAAUUAAUUCCACUUGCCAUUAGAAUUAACAGGAUGGAAUGGCACAUAGAAGUAGGUUGUUCCACCAAGUUUGAGCUCAUUUGGGCAAAGUUGCCAAUGCAACUUUUGUAAACCCUAGAAAUUAGCAGAAAUGAACUUGUGUAGAUCUAGUUGAUAAAAUCACUUCUCCUUGAUGCACCACUUGAUGUAGUGGCCUCAUUUGGUCAUGUGAACAUGUAUACAAAAGUUGAGAUCAAAAGGAGAAAGUUUCUAAUGUAGAGUUGUUCAAUUUUGGUUCUGGACAGGAAGGGUUUUGGGGCACUUUGAUCAAGUUAACUUGUUCUCCAACUUGUGCCAUUUGGUCUAGAUGAAUUAUUAGACCAUUGGAGCAUGUUCACAAGGUUUGAGAACAUUUGUACAUGUUUGGCAAUGUAAAGUUGCUCAAACUUCAAAAUGGACAGAAAUGGUUUUGAGAGGGUUUCAUGGGGUUAUACUGUUCUCCAUGACAUGAGACUUGGCAAGAUCAUCAAACAUGUCAUAUGUGACAUGCUAGAAUUUUCUUGGAAUUUUUGGAGAAUAUUUCCUUUGUAAAUAUUUCAAAAGCUUGAAAUAUCAAGAAAGGGUUUUUGAGGGGUUUGACCAAUAUUUUGACCAUGACCAUGUGUUGAAACUCUUAUAUAUGUACAAUAUAUGUCCUAUGAGUUUCCCUACAUUUUUGUCAAAUAUUUUUGAAGCAAUAAAAUAAUUUUUCCCUAUUAAAGACCAUUUCUGGCCUUAAGAAAAAGCUUUUAAAUAAAAUAGAAAAAUAACUUUUAAAAUUAUAUUUUUGUGGUUUCUGGGUAUCCUAUAUCUAAUAGGAGUCAAAAAUAUUUUUGGAAAGAUUUUUACUGCCCUUAAUUAAGUAUUUGUAGUGCAAACCUCAAUUCAGGGGUUUUUGAAAAACUAAUUUUAGAAAAUACUUUUUGGCCAAAUUAUUUUUGUAAGAAAAUACUAUAUUGCUCUAUACACAUGGCAUGAUCAUUGGGCAGAAGUUUGGAGCAAGGAGAUGAAGUAUAGGAGUUGGAGGAUUUAUUUGAUUUUUAGAGCACUUGCAAACAGCAGACAAACAUUCAAUCAAAGCAAAGACAAAACACUCAAAAGUUUUUGUCAAACCACAUUUUAGCAUGAUUUAUUGACUUAAGUGUUGUGGCAUGAAAUCAGGGUGUGACAGACCUACCCCCCUUACAAGAAUCUCGUCCCCGAGAUUCCCAGACUAGGCGCGGAAAGGAAUACGGAAACUUGGAUUUAGGGUAGUCUUCACGUCCUCAUACUGCUUCUGCUUCCCUGUAGUGCUCCAUUGAGCUGGAAGUACUUGAUGGUGUGGCUUCGCGUAUGACGUCCUGCUUGAUCCAGGUUGCUAAGGGGUUUCUUGAGGUGGUCAUAUUGGGCUGGAGGUCGAUGGCUCGGUGAUCGAUGUCCUUGUAGAGACCGUGCUAGUUGGGAAGUUGGAAACGUUUCCUGGAGUGGUGUCGUGUGGAAAAACGUUGUGCAUAGUGGGUGACUCAGGUGCUAACUCUAGCUGGUAGCCAUCUAUUCUUCGUCUUGCGGUGAUCCAAAAGGGGGUUGUUGAAUCUUGGAGUGAUCUCAAAGAGGGCCGAUGAAUCUUGGCGUGGGUUUCCUUGUCAUGAAAAUUCUUGGUUCCUUAGAGAGGAGUGGUUUGUAGAUACGCACGGUCUUCGAUGCGGAGGUUUACUUCUUGACUAUGGUGGUUGGUGUAGUUCUUUCUCCUGGACAUGGUGAUCUUCAGAUGUUCCCUAACUAGCUGAACGGUUCUUCUUCCGUCUUCGGGUAGGCAAGUAUGUCAUCAAGGAAAGAUGGCAACUAACUUGUCCGAGUACUCCGUGAAGACUUUGCCCAUGGUGUGCAUAGGGUAUAGGUCGGGGUAUUGGUGGUGGUCAUGGUUGAGUAUUGGCCAAGGUCUUAUUGAUCUAGAGCAAAAGCCCAAGGUCAGGAUCCGACCAUGUUGUGGCUUGGUAGGGCUUAAGGGUUUCAAGGAUUCCUAGUGUGCGAGCGAACGUUUGUCACCUCAUCCUUAAGCACGGUUCCCGAGGUGCCAAUUGUUCUAUCUAGUCCUUUGAACAAAUAACCUUAUACCACCGAAAGCAUCAACUCUUGUAGGCCAGCUCCAAUCAUCACUCAUGUUAUUCAUGUCCUCAUGACUCUCGAGAGGAGGUCUAACAAAAUCAUAUAUGUCUACAAUCCCCAAACUCGUAUGUAUGGCUACCCCUAAAAAUCCAUGGGUAGAGCAUAUAAGCUGCUAAGCUUGAAUUUAAUCACCACAAUCCAAGUGCUCAGUCUAUUGAUCCAAGGUCCAUGAUAAAGCAUCUCUAUCCUAAGGAAACACGUCGUAAGCCACUCCAAGAUCUUGUUUCCUUCCUAUGAAUCAACUCCAAUAGCCCAUUAACUUCCAUUAAUCGCUACAUAAUCCAUUAAUUCUACAAAUCCAAAGUCUAUGGUGUUCUACAUGAUCUCCUAAUGUUCCUAUAAUCCCCAAAUACUGGAAAAGGCUAUCUCUACUAUAGUAAGUCCACCAAUUUCCAUUAUCAUGGUCAAGUAACCUCUAAGGUCAAGUUUAUAUCAACUCCGACAAUUAAUCCAAUCUCCUAGUUUAUUGUCCACAGAGAAACAUGGUAUCAUGAUCGGGAUCAUCAGUCUAAAUCCAAUUUACUCCGAACCAUGUAGACAUACUCAGCAUCUAUAUUCAACUAGAAUCACCUACUUAAAUCCAAAUCUCUUGUCCAACAAGAAUCCCUACAUGUUCCCCCAAGUCAUUUACGUAAUAUCAACUGUCUCCUAUCAAUAUCCCAUGGCUAAGUUAAAUCCAAAUACUUACAAUUAUCCUACUAAAUCCAAUUUACUCAGGGGUAAUGAAAGUUAUGCUAAUCUAUACUCAUGAUCCCACCAAGUUCAUCUACCAACAUCAAAUCCUAAUAAUCCACCAAAUAGUCUCAGAUGAUUCCUCAAAGUCAUUGAUAUAAACUCAUCAAGUCAUUUGUCCUCUAUUCCUAUAUCUUAAACUGGUCUUCCCUAUGGCAUCGUCAGUUCUGGUGCUGUAUUAGGAUGAUAAUGUGCUCGUUCACUAUGUCCACUAGUUCCAUAAUGAACCCAGUGUUGUGCAAGGUCUAUAGAGGCUUAACUGGUUCUCUUGCAAUUCUGUGGGUUAAGCACAUGGUUAAGGAUUCUAGCUGGGGUAUCUUAUAAAGCCUCGAAGGGUCUAGGAAUGGGUUUCUAAUCUUGAGGGUUAAACAUAACUCUACGGGGUUUCACUUGGUCGAGGAGGCUGCAACAAAAGUCUUCAUUGCUAGUUGGUUGCCGAAGCAGGUUUCUUGGUGCAUCUUGUCUUGCUGGUCUUCAGUUGAGGAGAGAGAGACAAGAGGGAAAAGUAGCAUAGAGGAGGUGGGAUGCCUAAAGGGGGUACUAUAGUGCAGGUGCAAAUAAACAAGUGCCAAAAAGGCCAAACACAAACAACAAAAUAAGCCAGGUGAUAUAGUCACGUACUUGUUGCCUAGGGCAAAAAGGGCGACUGAUAUCAAAAACACAAGAAAUAAAAACAAGCAACACACAAUCAUGGUUCUACUCGAACCAUCAUACGGACUCGACUGCGCAUAGGGGGUACACGACUCAUCCUACCCUAGGGGUUCUCGGACUCCAUAGUCAUGCCUUGUGCCUCGUGCAGUCUCUCGGGUUUUCCUCAGGUGUUGCUACGUCUCUUGUAGUUGUUCAAUGAAACAAUCCGGGUUGAGCCUGAAGAUUCUUCAACAACUUCUCACCUAUUGAAGUGAUGGGGUGAAGGUGGCUCCUCAUAACUGGCAUUGACUUGGUCUUCUAUUGUCUUCUUAAUCACGACGAUCCCUUUUUGUCUUCUAAGCUGUCGAUAGUACCAGGUAGGUAAUCCUUUAUGCAAUGACAUUAUCAAGGCAUAAUAGAGGUCCAUCAUGUCGGUUACGUUGAUGACAACAUCGACACCAAGAGCGGGGGAUGAGGAGAACCGUUUUCCUGCUCACUAUGGUGAGGCGGACCAAUUGGCUAGGUUCUCAUCCAUCGGUGGUUGCCGAUACAACAACGGUAGUGACAGGGUUACUCUAUUAGCGAUGUAUAUCAUGAUCUUGCAUACCCUAUGCCCUGAUCAUCGUAGGCUAAGGUUGCAUCAUCUUGGGGCAGUGUCAAGGGUGUCACCAUCUCCUGGGUCUUCAGGUCCUCAUUCCUCGAGGAUGUAUCUUCUGUUGGUAUCGUCUUGUUGUGAUGUCGCAAAUCUUGUGUUCAGGAGAUCUGGGUGAAUGUCUGGCAAGGCAUCUUCCUUCUAGAUUAUCCACGAGGAUUACAAGGAAUCCAGUGGUCAGGGGCAUAAGGGUUCUAGCGACCAAAGGUUUUGAAGGGGAAGAGAUCAAUAAGGAAAGUAGACCUUAGUUUUUGAAAAACUGAGAAGGGAAGAGAAGUAUAGAUAGUUUUGAAAACUAGUAGUAGUUUUGGAAAUAUUUUACCCUAACUAACGACCAUGCUAACUAAAGCUUCCUACAGUCAGGAUGGCUCUGAUACCAGCUCUGUGGGGACCCCGACUUAUAAGUCGAGAUCACCGAAUGCACGUGUACAGUGAUCCCAGAGAUCAAUGCUCACUGAACACACAGAAGCUGAAUAACAAGAGUCUUACAUCCAUACAUACCGUCUUACACCAAUUAUGACCAUUAUGGUAAAGUCCUACAUUGAUAAAGCCUUAAGGGCUAAACAUCAAAUGAAACACAAGCAGCGGAAAUCUUCGUCGAUAAGUAGAACCCAUGCCAUCUGCCUUAACCCUACAGGCAUUCUGACUGGGAAACGUCCUAGUUCGCAUGUUCGUCUCCAAAGAACUCUUCUUCGAACUCCGGUCCUUCCAUGCCUAGUCAAUUAAAUAACCAGUGGCAAGCCAAUGAGUACUUUGAAUGUACUCGCAAGCAACCCAUGUUUUGGUUCAAGAUACAGCAAUGCAUGAUAUAUGUAAAAUUUUGCAGAAAGCUAGUUUUGAGUGCAAUGACAUGUUCAACAACUUGUACGACAUGCAUCAAGAGAAUUCAAGUAUCCAUGAGGACAGUUACAGAUAUCAACAUAAAUAGAGUGGGCACCAACCCAUCUCAAUUAUGUCAAGUCCUUUGACUUGACCCAAGUAGUUAUCCAAACACACACACUGGUUUGUAAACUCUGGACACAGUUUAAGCAGCACCGCCCAACCGUCCUUGACCGUGGACACGACUAUUCGAAUAGUUUUACAUCCUGCAGAGGUUGCACACCGUACCCACAAGAUCCGAGGAACUUCCGUGUCAUCCACGACCCGCGGUACCUCAAGUACCCGGGGUAAGCACCCGAUCACUACCUUUCCCUAGACGACACUAACCUGGAGUCCACUCGAUUGGUAGUAACCCCCCGUGCCCAACAUUAUCACAUAACAUUUUCGUGGAGGCACGCUCCAUAAUCAUCUCUCAUCACAAGCACGGGGUACCAACGGUGUGCCCUGUGCCCCAUAAAAAUGUUCUUGGCCGCCCUACCUGGCACGACCCCGUCCCAAGAGAGCGCACCAACAACACUCCCGUCACUAGUAAUGCGGGCUCCAAGCUAGUAUCGGUCUAGGUAAUCAAUAAUGCCCUUUCCCAUAUAAGGGUAGAGUGGUUGCGCAUGUAAGGUUGGGACAGUCAUCAAAUCUUAAAUCUAAUCCGUUUUCGAAAAGAACACACACACUUGCCUCGGUACACCACUUUGUCAUCAAGUGGUUACCCAUCUCAUCAUCUCCCUCGGGCAUAAGUGGCACCCGACGAGGUUUUCGAAAAGUCUUUUGAAAAUGCCUUGUCUCCUUCACCAUGCAUAAACCCGUCCCUUUUUGCGUAGCAACUAUUUUAGCAUCCUAUCUACUCCACCGGCAUAACCCUCAUAAGAAGGUAGGGUCAUGCACAAUGCAAGUAUCAACGAGGAAGUAACAGAGGCAACCAACCCACGUGGUUCACCAUCUCAUCAUGAUUCUAAUGCAACAAUAAUAAAGAGCUAUAUGACAUGCAUAAAAAGGGUUUCAUAGACAUGGUCAAAGGGCUGCUUGCCUGUUUCAUCAGAGUCUUGAGAUCUUCUGGUCCUUCUCCAGGUACUCCGUCUACUUCAUCAACUAACGUCGGAAACAAUCAUAAUAAGCAACACAACAAGGCAAAAAUAAAAGUGCUCUAAAAAUAUGAGUUGGACUUUUCUGGGAUACCUCUAGUCAUAUGAGGGAUGACCAAAGUGAUUUCAUUGGAAGCGGAUCAAUGGAUAUUUCUAAACAUUUCAAUAUGGUGGAAUCAAUGGAUUUGAUGGAUCCACAAGUUGUACACAGAAUGCCAUUUUAUAAAAAUGAGUAAAAGUACCCAUUAAUUCAGGCAUGAUUUUAGAAACAUUUAGAAAUUGGUUUCACUGGAUUUGGAGUUGAAAUGAAUACAAUAUGGAUUUUUGAAGUGGACUUAUGUGGAUAAAUGACCUUUUAAAAAGGUUCAGUGAAAACCAGGGACAACGAAAAUGUCCACUGUGGCCUAUUAAAUAGAGCUUGAUUUAUGGAGCCACUGGAAAUUUGAAUCAUCAAAUUUGGAGUCCAUUUGACUUAUUUGUGGAUUUUACAAAUUUACAGAAAAGAAAAAGGAAAA
rnacentral:lncRNA from 1 species